rnacentral:lncRNA from 1 species
CACUACUAGAAAAAUGCUCAUAGAUAACGGAUUUUAUCCGUUAUCUAUGAGCAAAAAAACUGUUGUGUAUAGUGGUGUUAUCUAUACUAUACGUCAUACACAACGGUUUCAAAACCGUUAUGUAUAGUAGCAUAGAUAACGGUACGAUGCGUCAUACAUAACAGUACGCAUCCGUUAUCUAUAAAGGUUAUACAUAACGGUUUUUCACCGUUAUGUAUUAAGAUUUUUCCGUUAUGUAUUAAUUUUUUUUUUUUUUUUUUUUUUUUUAUCAUAGUUAACAGUUUUUUGCACUUUUUAUAACGGUUUUAACCGUUAUCUUUGAUAGAAUACAUAACGGUUUUCAC